rnacentral:lncRNA from 1 species
GGAUGAUAAAUAAGGAGAAAAAUGAUACGCAAGGAAAUCUUGACAAAUGUAGUAGUUCAGUAAACAUAGGAGUCCAAUCCACCUACAUAAUUAACGCAUAUACAUACACGAUACAUACACCCACCCAUCCCACAACUUGUUUAGAAUAUACUCUUAACUCUUUCAUCAACACAAGAUUCAUUGGACUUUUUCAACCAUUUCCCCACAUCUCUCCCCAAACCCAGGUCAGACUUCUUAUCUUUUUACACUUCUAUGCUGUUCUAAACUCUUAUUUGCUUCAAGGGUAUGCUUCCACUUGUUAAAGUUUGCACCUUUUCUUGAUUUCAGUUUUAAUUCUUGUGUUUUUGUGUAUGGAAUUGUGAUAUUUGCAUGUUUGGAGUUAGUGUCUGCCCUUCAGAAUUAUACUAUUGCUGUUUGAUUUGGGUGUUUUUUGAUCAUUUGAGUUGGGUGUUUUGAGAUGAUUGUCAUAUGAUUGUUGGGUUUUUGGCUCAGAAACUUUUUCACUUCAAGUGUUAAGGUUUUUCUUGGAAUUUGAAGAAUUAGCUAAACCUGAUAUAACAAUGGAUAGAAAAAAUGAUGUUUUUUCCGAAGGAAAAGCAUGAACUUGAAUUUUCUAAUUUAAGAUGCAUAAAUUUGUUUAGGAGUUGCCUUAGAUAUCCUGGAAAACUGUUUUUAUUUAAUAGAAUUUGAAUAGGAGUAUAUGUUAUAGCUAUAUUAUUGUGAUAGAAAUCGUAAAAAUAAUAAUAAUAAUCAGGUUUUGAUACUGGGCUGACCAUGCUUCCAUCCGCCGCACCACUCUGAUAUGUAUGUUGUAUUAAUCUUAACGAGAGUAUCUGAUCAGAAAAUAAUUUUAAGGUAAAUGGGUUGAAGAUAGGUUAAAUUAGUCCCUUUUGGCUCGAAUUCUAUUUUUGUUUUUUUUUUCAAAGUCUGUUUUGGUUUCUACUUAUUAUCUUUAAGUUUUCAUCUUUUUUUGGAUUUGUUAGUUGAGUUAUUGUUUGAUUGGGGGGGGGGGGGGGGGGGGGUGNNNNNNNNNNNNNNNNNNNNNNNNNNNNNNNNNNNNNNNNNNNNNNNNNNNNNNNNNNNNNNNNNNNNNNNNNNNNNNNNNNNNNNNNNNNNNNNNNNNNNNNNNNNNNNNNNNNNNNNNNNNNNNNNNNNNNNNNNNNNNNNNNNNNNNNNNNNNNNNNNNNNNNNNNNNNNNNNNNNNNNNNNNNNNNNNNNNNNNNNNNNNNNNNNNNNAAACAGAAAAAGCCACUAUAACCCAAGAAUAUAUACAUUCACACUCUAUAUAUAAACAAAAUUUAGUAGAUUUAAAUUAGAAAAAAGUAUAUUAGUAUACAUAAUACACAUACAUACAUACAUACAUACAUACAUACAUACAUACAUACAUACAUACAUACAUAUAUAUUUGGAUUUUUUUUCGGGUUUCGGGUUUGGAUCGGGUUUGGAUCGGAUUCGGAUUUCGGGUUCGGUUUCGAUACGGAAUACCUAGUAUCCAAAUCCAAAUCCAAACUCAUUCGGGUCUAAAAAUCAAAUCCAAAUCCAAAUCCAAAUCCAAAAUAUCGGGUUCGGUAAGAUCCAUUCGGGUCGAAACGGUCGGGUAUCCAUUCGGAUCGGUUUUUUCUGCCAUCCCUACAAACAAGGGUGGUUUGGUCCGGGCUUUGCUGGUAUCAACUAUGAGUUUUGUUUAUUCCAAUGUUUGGUCGAAAUAUUUCUUUCAUCAGACAAUUUCUCAAAUAUGAGAUUUUCAUACUUAAGGUGGUUAUGAAACAUGAGUCUCAAGAAUCAAAUUUUUUUUUUCUUUUAUUUUCAUGACUAUUUAUAUCAUUUCAUGUAGAUUAUUUAUACAAAAUGAAAUUAAGACUCAAUAUAUAUAUAAAUAUUAAUUUAAUAAUAUUUUAAAUUAAUUACAAUUAAUAACUCAUAAAUAUUAUAAUUCAAUCAUAUUCAUUCCACCACUCAACCAAAUAUGAAAUCAUACCUCAAACCUAUACCAGCUUAGCUUAACCUGAUCAUUCCAACACCAUACUCCCUCUCUAACCAAACGACCCCAGAGAUUUGUCCAUGUAAACAAAAUUUAUAUAUUCUCGUUACAUAAAUAAAAAUAUUACAUGCAGAGAUUAGAGAGUGAGAAAUAAAGAAAAUAAUAAAAAUUUAUUUACGCAAUCAACAAGAGUGUGAACUGAGUCUGUAACUAAUGGAUGAUAAAUAAGGAGAAAAAUGAUACGCAAGGAAAUCUUGACAAAUGUAGUAGUUCAGUAAACAUAGGAGUCCAAUCCACCUACAUAAUUAACGCAUAUACAUACACGAUACAUACACCCACCCAUCCCACAACUUGUUUAGAAUAUACUCUUAACUCUUUCAUCAACACAAGAUUCAUUGGACUUUUUCAACCAUUUCCCCACAUCUCUCCCCAAACCCAGGUCAGACUUCUUAUCUUUUUACACUUCUAUGCUGUUCUAAACUCUUAUUUGCUUCAAGGGUAUGCUUCCACUUGUUAAAGUUUGCACCUUUUCUUGAUUUCAGUUUUAAUUCUUGUGUUUUUGUGUAUGGAAUUGUGAUAUUUGCAUGUUUGGAGUUAGUGUCUGCCCUUCAGAAUUAUACUAUUGCUGUUUGAUUUGGGUGUUUUUUGAUCAUUUGAGUUGGGUGUUUUGAGAUGAUUGUCAUAUGAUUGUUGGGUUUUUGGCUCAGAAACUUUUUCACUUCAAGUGUUAAGGUUUUUCUUGGAAUUUGAAGAAUUAGCUAAACCUGAUAUAACAAUGGAUAGAAAAAAUGAUGUUUUUUCCGAAGGAAAAGCAUGAACUUGAAUUUUCUAAUUUAAGAUGCAUAAAUUUGUUUAGGAGUUGCCUUAGAUAUCCUGGAAAACUGUUUUUAUUUAAUAGAAUUUGAAUAGGAGUAUAUGUUAUAGCUAUAUUAUUGUGAUAGAAAUCGUAAAAAUAAUAAUAAUAAUCAGGUUUUGAUACUGGGCUGACCAUGCUUCCAUCCGCCGCACCACUCUGAUAUGUAUGUUGUAUUAAUCUUAACGAGAGUAUCUGAUCAGAAAAUAAUUUUAAGGUAAAUGGGUUGAAGAUAGGUUAAAUUAGUCCCUUUUGGCUCGAAUUCUAUUUUUGUUUUUUUUUUCAAAGUCUGUUUUGGUUUCUACUUAUUAUCUUUAAGUUUUCAUCUUUUUUUGGAUUUGUUAGUUGAGUUAUUGUUUGAUUGGGGGGGGGGGGGGGGGGGGGUUGUUGUGCAAAAGCGUACUUUUUGAGAUGGUUGUUCAUGUUCAAAUCUGGAAUCGUUUCAGCUCAAGGCUUUAUUAUGUUUCUAAAGAUCUAAUGUACUUAUGAUAAGUGAUAUAAAAUUAAUCUUCAUUACUUGAUAUGUAAUAGACUCUAAUUUCAGAUUUUAGAUACUUAAAUUAGUCACGCUGUCAAUUAUUUUGGUUGACAAGGUAAAGCUAGAUUUUUAACACAACUUUCGGAGUGUAAGAACUAAAUUUAUCACAUAAAUAUCUUUUAAAAAAAUUAUCAGAGCCAGGUUUCGAUCCUGGGACCUGUGGGUUAUGGGCCCACCACGCUUCCGCUGCGCCACUCUGAUUUGUUGUUAAGUGGAGCAGACAUAUAGAAUACUAAUUUUCAGUCUAGAAGAUUGUCUGUUAUCAAGUAACAUCAAGGUUUAUAUAACAAGUAGCAAAUGUAUAAUCUUUGCUGGAAGACUGAAUCACUUAUUCAAGUAUUCAACAAAUAAACAGAUAUCAAGAAAUAAACAGAUAUGUAUAUAUAUGAAUUAUGUAUCUGGAGCCUACAGCUGGUGGGUAUAUCCUGAAUUGUUCUGAAAUCCCUGUAGCUACUUGAUAAAAUGAAAAUAUUAUAUAUUAUUGGGAAAAUACAUGUUUUGUUCUUAAAAGUUUACUUUUUAAAAUGAAUAUGUUUGAGCUCUAGUUUUUUAUUAUGUCUCUGAGAGUUAUAGUAUUGGUUGGAAAAAAAUUGGGUAUCUCUUAUUAAAAAGUUUUUUUUGGAUAUACUAGUCAUAAUAGAAACGCAUUCAUAAGUUGGCAUUGUAAGCUUGUGUUACAUACGAAUUUAUUACAUGCAUUAAGUAAGUUAGUAUAAUCAGAGUCAAUAAUAAAAAUGAAAAAACUAUCCGUACCAGGUUUAUGGGACCACCACACUUCCCACUCGGAUAUGUUGUUUAUCUUUGCAGACGUAUAAUAUAUUAACCUUCAAAUGAGAGGUGAUUAUCUAUUAUCAAGUCAAACUGAUUGAUAACUUGGAGAUAGAUAAGUAGCAGAUAUGUGUAAACUCUUGAUAGUACUAUAAUUAAGUUAAAAGAUACUAGAGAUUUUAUAUUAUUUUUUUCCCGAGAAAAGCCUACUUUCUGACUUUGGAGAUUAUUGCAACCUACCUAAUGUUUUUGUAUGUUCCAAUUUUAUUUUAUUAUUAUUUUCUGUUGCUCUCUUAAUCUCAGCUUUUUUAUGCAUAAAAUAGUCACAGUAGGUUAUAUACAUAAAGCAGAAACAAAGUCAGAUCCUGGGACCUGUGGGUUAUGGGCCCACAAAGCUUCUGCCGCACCACUCUGCACCACUCUGAUCUGUUGUUUGAUGACAGACAAUAUAUAUAUUAAUCUUCAAGAAAGAAGAUAGUCUAUUAUCAAGUAAGAUUAAGAUUAAUAUAUCAAGAGUGAUGUUGCUCAUUACCUUUAUUACGCAUAAGUUCAGAUAACGGGUAGUUGAAAUAUAAUGUGUUUGGGAAGAAAACAUCAGAUAUUCAAUAAACAAACCAAGCAGAACCCUGUGUUAGAAUAUGCCGAGCUAGUUUUUUUAUGUAUAAAUUGUGGUUUUGGAGCAUAUGGUUCCACUUGUCUUUGUUGUCAAGUGUGAUACACUUCAUCAGAUGGUUUUUGUUUGUAACUCCUGAUAGCAUACACUAUGAUGGGAAAAAUGCACUUUAUCAGGGAUAGUACAGUUUUUUUUUGUUUCUUUUAUGGUUUAGUUUUGUUAUGAAUAUUGUGUAUAUAUAAAUUCGGUAUAUUUGAUUUCAGCUUAUUCUUCCUUUGUUUCGUUUUUUUUGUUGAAAUGGAAUUGCUUUCUAGUGUUGGCUGUGCACAAUUAUUAAUUUGCCAAUCUAACAUUUUUGGUACUUAUAUUGCAGGAAACCACUAUAACUGGGAACACAAGAUGGCAUUUACUACAAAACAAAUGUCUUUAAUUGUGGCAACAUUUGGUGUGCUGUCCUUCAUAUUUGGAGUUAUCGCUGAAAAUAA